rnacentral:rRNA from 1 species
CCUACGGGUGGCAGCAGUGGGGAAUAUUGCGCAAUGGGCGAAAGCCUGACGCAGCGACGCCGCGUGAGGGAUGAAGGUCUUCGGAUCGUAAACCUCUGUCAGCAGGGAAGAACGGUCACUGUGCUAAUCAGCAGUGAAUUGACGGUACCUGCAAAGGAAGCACCGGCUAACUCCGUGCCAGCAGCCGCGGUAAUACGGGGGGUGCGAGCGUUAAUCGGAAUUACUGGGCGUAAAGCGCUCGUAGGCGGUAUGUCAAGUCAAGGGUGAAAUCCCCGCGCUCAUCGUGGGAACUGCCUUUGAAACUGGCAAACUGGGGUGUGUGAGAGGAUAGUGGAAUUCCAGGUGUAGGAGUGAAAUCCGUAGAUAUCUGGAGGAACAUCAGUGGGAAGGCGACUAUCUGGCACAUAACUGACGCUGAGGAGCGAAAGCGUGGGUAGCAAACAGGAUUAGAUACCCGUGUAGUC